CGCCGUUACCUCUCCCUGUGCCAGGAGCUCCCUGGAGGCUCGUGUAGACCCACUUCCUCUCCUCCCCAGGCCCAGCACAGAGCAGGCCACUGGGGAGGGGAACGGAUACCCUAGGGUAGUGGCCACAGGGCUGGCAGCUGGCCUGGUGCAGGCGUCUCGGUGGGGGCAGGAUACCCAGGUGCAAGCAGAGCCCUGUCCCUCCUGCCCUUUCCCCGCCCCAGUCAGGCCCCUGUAAUCUCCGCUCCCAGGCAGCGACUGGCUGUGCUAUCUGGCCUGUGGUUUGUCGUUCCCCUCUGCGGGCCAGGCUCUGUUGCCUAGCUGAUACCAGCUGCCGUGGCCACGUGCUCCAGGCACUUCCCGCGGAGCCACUAUGGCCCCACCUCUUGCAGUUCUCACAGCGGCCCAUGGUUACCCUGUCUGCAGAAGUUAAAAUGGGCUUCGAAAGCUUGAGUCACUGCCCAGGGUCAUCUAGCAGGAAAGUACAUGAGCUGGGGUGACCUCUAAAGCCCAGCCCUUUAUGCGACACCUGGGCCUGGUGCCCUCAUCCUACCUGGGCCCCGCCUGGCCCCUCAGCCUUGUGCCCACUGCAGGUGCCUGAUGGCUUCAUCUCCCAUUUCUACUCCGUAUCGGAGCAUGUGAGCCCUGUCCUAGCCUUCGGCUUCCUUGGACCCAAGCCUCAGCUUGCUGAAGUCUGUGCUUUCUUCAAGCACCAGAUUGUGCAGUACCUGAGGGACAUGUUCGACCUGGACAAUGUGCGCUACACGUCACUGCCCGCGCUGGCAGACGACAUCCUGCAGCUGUCCCGGCGCCGCAGCGAGAUAUUGCUGGGGUACCUGGGGGUGCCCGCGGCCAGCAGCGCAGGCGUGAAUGGGGCGCUGCCCCGAGAGAAUGGGCCCCUGGGGGAGCUGCAGUAGAGGCGGCACGGGCUGGGGGGUGGCAGAGAGAAGGCUCCUCCUCCCUUCCCUGGGUUGGUAUCUGACAGCUGUGGUGGCUGAGGGCCGUUGCCCCUGACUUUGCCCCACCCCCAUCAUCUGGGAGUCCCCAAGGCCCAGAGGGGACAUUUCCAUGGAGAAGAACGGUUCCUGGGGGAAGCAGAGGCCAGGACCAGUGGGGCCUGUGGGAGAGAAAGGCUGUGAGAGAGGGGGGUGUUGUAGAGAAUUGGGACAGGCAGAGCCAGGAUGCCCCAGGUGGGGGACCCCAAAACCUCCCAUCGCCCCAGGGCUGCUGACAAGGGUGCUGGGAGGGUGGAGGUGAAGGAUGGGGCCUAGAGCCCUGUGGUGAAGGUCACAGUGUCCUGAGCUAGAAGCCACCUGUGGCUAUAUGGUCUCAGCAUCCAGGCAUCCAGCUGGCCUGUCCUGAUGCCCUCCCCACCUCAACCGCCUUCUCAGAGAGUUUGCAACUCCAGAGAAGGAGAGUGGGGCCACCUUAGUGGGCAGCAGGCCUGGGCCAUCCAGAGGUGGGGCAGAGGUGGGCCUCCCACUCCUGUGCUCUCUUCUGAGCAGGAACUGGGCCCUUGACAAACCCAAGCACCAAACCAGGACAGUGUCCUUUGACAUUCCCUCGCCCUACCAAAGAUCGUCUUUUCUCCUCCCACCUCUGUCACCACCAAAGACGGGCGGAGGUGGGGCUGGGCCCUCCUGCCCCCGCCCAUCCCCCUUCCAUGAGCCCGGACCUCCCUGGGUGGUGCUAGGCUCUGAGCUGGGGGCUCAGACCAGGGAUCGCUCAGGCCCCUGUCACCUGUGGGCCCGGGGACCACUUGGGGGAGGUCAGAGGAUGUAUGUGGCCGGACCAGCUUCCCCACCUUCAUUAGGACAAGAAACUGCCCAGCACUUUGCCUUCAGUUCAACGCACAAACGCUCCUGGGGCCUCAUGGGGGCAGAGCCUCCCCUGGGCCUGCAGAGAGUCCUGUUAGCAGCGAUGUCCCCCCGCCGCGGGGUCUUAUCAGCCCGGCAGUGUCUUCUCAGGGUCUUCACCUGAGCAAGUGUCUGUGGCCCCAACGUGUUCUGCUGUGGCUCUGCCCUUUCCAGGUUGAGAGGCCUGCAGGAGAAACAGACUCCCCUCCUGGGUUUCCACACUCAGGAGUCAGAGGACUGGCUCCUGUGACCAGGGCCCCUCUCCCCUGAAUGGGAAAGGGGUCUGGGGAUGGGAGGGCGCACCACAGAGAGGAGAUGAUGCUGGGUGUGGCCCAUCUUCUGUGGGCCCCUUCCCAGACACCGGAUCCAUGGGCACUAACCCGCCUCCCAGGCUGAUGCCCAGAGGCAGCUUCCUGGGCAGGAGGGUUCCAUGGGCACUAACCCACCUCCCAGGCUGAUGCCCGGAGGCAGCCUCCAGGGCAGGAAGGACCCUGUGCUCCCCGCCCCCCAUCCUGACAUCCUGUUCUUUUGCACUUACCCUGUGCUGUGAAUGUAACAGUGGGCCUUGGCCCCGCCCACUCUGAUUUGCAUUUUCAUUUGUGUUUGUUUACACAUCCGUGCACUGCCUGUAGCAGUCGAUUGUCACAGCUUCGACUUUUGGAUGGUAGAGUGUGUGCACUGACUGUGAGUCGAAUAAACAAUUGAGACA
rnacentral:sRNA from 1 species